rnacentral:rRNA from 1 species
CCAGACUCCUACGGGAGGCAGCAGUGGGGAAUAUUGCACAAUGGGCGCAAGCCUGAUGCAGCCAUGCCGCGUGUAUGAAGAAGGCCUUCGGGUUGUAAAGUACUUUCAGCGGGGAGGAAGGGAGUAAAGUUAAUACCUUUGCUCAUUGACGUUACCCGCAGAAGAAGCACCGGCUAACUCCGUGCCAGCAGCCGCGGUAAUACGGAGGGUGCAAGCGUUAAUCGGAAUUACUGGGCGUAAAGCGCACGCAGGCGGUUUGUCAAGUCAAGGGUGAAAUCCCCGCGCUCAACGUGGGAACUGCCUUUGAAACUGGCAAACUGGAGUGUGUGAGAGGAUAGUGGAAUUCCAGGUGUAGGAGUGAAAUCCGUAGAUAUCUGGAGGAACAUCAGUGGCGAAGGCGACUAUCUGGCACAUAACUGACGCUGAGGAGCGAAAGCGUGGGUAGCAAACAGGAUUAGAUACCCCUGUAAAC